rnacentral:rRNA from 1 species
AUAUCAAUAAGCGGAGGAAAAGAAAGCAACAGCGAUAUCCCAAGUAACGGCGAGUGAAGGGGAUAAAGCCCACCCCGGAUCCCGUAGCCUUUGGUUGCUGGGAGCUGUAGGGUUAAGUAGGUCUUCUCCGGUAUAGCUCUGACUCCUUGAGUUCCCUUGAUUGGGACCACGGCCACAUAGGCGGGU